rnacentral:rRNA from 1 species
UGAACGCUGGCGGAAUGCUUUACACAUGCAAGUCGAGCGGCAGCGCGGGGGCAACCUUGGCGGCGAGCGGCGAACGGGUGAGUAAUAUAUCGGAACGUGCCCUGUAGCGGGGGAUAACCUAUCGAAAGAUGGACUAAUACCGCAUACGCUCUACGGAGGAAAGCGGGGGUCGCAAGACCUCGCACUAUAGGAGCGGCCGAUAUCGGAUUAGCUAGUUGGCGGGGUAAAAGCCCACCAAGGCGACGAUCCGUAGCUGGUCUGAGAGGAUGAUCAGCCACACUGGAACUGAGACACGGUCCAGACUCCUACGGGAGGCAGCAGUGGGGAAUUUUGGACAAUGGGCGCAAGCCUGAUCCAGCCAUGCCGCGUGAGUGAAGAAGGCCUUCGGGUUGUAAAGCUCUUUCGGCGGGAACGAAAUGGUUCGUGCUAAUACCACGGACUGAUGACGGUACCUGAAGAAGAAGCACCGGCUAACUACGU